AUGGACAAGGGAUCCAGUUGGGGUGAAGGUGCUGAGCUCCCCUCUGCUGCCUGAGGAUCCAGUCCUGAGCCCAGGGUGCAACUAAUCUGAACUCCAGAAUCCAUUUCAAGCAAACUCCAUCUCAGGGCUUUGGAUGCUGCAGCAACAAGGCAAAGGAUCCAUGCAGGGGGUGGUCUGAGAGUGCCCAACCUCGUCACACACACAGGAUGCUUCAGUGCCAACAUCUGGUGUUUUUCAGAGGGACUCCGGAAGGGAAGGAACAUCCUGCCCCUGACAUCUCCACUGAGCCAUAUUAUUAGUUUUGGUGAUUAAAUCGAAGCCCAUUUGCAGGUGACAAUGCUGUAAAAAUAAGUAGGUACCAGAGCCGACAUUGUGAAAACGAGGCAGGAGCACAGAGCUCAGGCAGCAUACAUAAUCCGUGGGGAAAUAAGUGUGUGAAUAAUGAAUGGGCACUGGAAAAAUAAAAUACAUUAUUGUGGUAAAGAUAAGUCUAUUAAA